GGAGGGCCAUAGCUCAAUGAUCAGAGCACCUGCUUUACAUGCAAAAGGUCCCAGGUUCAAGCCCCAGCAUCUCCA
rnacentral:tRNA from 1 species